rnacentral:rRNA from 1 species
GGAGGAUGCGAGCGUUAUCCGGAUUUAUUGGGUUUAAAGGGAGCGCAGACGGGAGAUUAAGUCAGUUGUGAAAGUUUGCGGCUCAACCGUAAAAUUGCAGUUGAUACUGGUUUCCUUGAGUGCAGUUGAGGCAGGCGGAAUUCGUGGUGUAGCGGUGAAAUGCUUAGAUAUCACGAAGAACCCCGAUUGCGAAGGCAGCUUGCUAAACUGUAACUGACGUUCAUGCUCGAAAGUGUGGGUAUCAAACAGGAUUAGAUACCCUGGUAGUCCACACGGUAAACGAUGGAUACUCGCUGUUGGCGAUAUACUGUCAGCGGCCAAGCGAAAGCAUUAAGUAUCCCACCUGGGGAGU